UACGAAGGGGGCUAGCGUUGUUCGGAAUCACUGGGCGUAAAGGGUGCGUAGGCGGGAUCUUAAGUCAGGGGUGAAAUCCCGAGGCUCAACCUCGGAACUGCCUUUGAUACUGGGGUCCUUGAGUCCGGAAGAGGUGAGUGGAACUGCGAGUGUAGAGGUGAAAUUCGUAGAUAUUCGCAAGAACACCGGUGGCGAAGGCGGCUCACUGGUCCGGAACUGACGCUGAUGCACGAAGGCCAGGGGAGCAAACGGG
rnacentral:rRNA from 1 species